rnacentral:rRNA from 1 species
AUUGAACGCUGGCGGCAGGCCUAACACAUGCAAGUCGAACGAGUGGCGGACGGGUGAGUAAUGUCUGGGAAACUGCCCGAUGGAGGGGGAUAACUACUGGAUACGGUAGCUAAUACCGCAUACCAUCGGAUGUGCCCAGAUGGGAUUAGCUAGUGGGUGGGGUAACGGAUCACCUAGGCGACGCUCCCUAGCUGGUCUGAGAGGAUGACCAGCCAAAAUGGAACUGAGACACGGUCCAGACUCCUACGGGAGGCAGCAGUGGGGAAUAUUGCACAAUGGGCGCAAGCCUGAUGCAGCCAUGCCGCGUGGAUGAAGAAGGCCUUCGGGUUGUAAAGUACUUUCAGCGAGGAGGCGUUACGCGCAGAAGAAGCACCGGCUAACUCCGUGCCAGCAGCCGCGGUAAUUC